CAGAUCUUAAGUUAUACAAACUAUAAGCCUUCCAAGCUAAAAAAAAGCAGUCUUAGGUCUGA
rnacentral:tRNA from 1 species